GACGAACGCUGGCGGCGUGCUUAACACAUGCAAGUCGAACGGAAAGGCCCUGCUUUUGUGGGGUGCUCGAGUGGCGAACGGGUGAGUAACACGUGAGUAACCUGCCCUUGACUUUGGGAUAACUUCAGGAAACUGGGGCUAAUACCGGAUAGGAGCUCCAGCUGCAUGGUGGGGGUUGGAAAGUUUCGGCGGAGGGGGAUGGACUCGCGGCUUAUCAGCUUGUUGGUGGGGUAGUGGCUUACCAAGGCUUUGGCGGGUAGCCGGCCUGAGAGGGUGACCGGCCACAUUGGGACUGAGAUACGGCCCAGACUCCUACGGGAGGCAGCAGUGGGGAAUAUUGCACAAUGGGCGGAAGCCUGAUGCAGCAACGCCGCGUGCGGGAUGACGGCCUUCGGGUUGUAAACCGCUUUCGCCUGUGACGAAGCGUGAGUGACGGUAAUGGGUAAAGAAGCACCGGCUAACUACGUG
rnacentral:rRNA from 1 species